CCUACGGGACGCACCAGUGGGGAAUAUUGCACAAUGGGCGCAAGCCUGAUGCAGCCAUGCCGCGUGUAUGAAGAAGGCCUUCGGGUUGUAAAGUACUUUCAGCGGGAAGGAAGGCGAUAAGGUUAAUAACCUUGUCGAUUGACGUUACCCGCAGAAGAAACACCGGCUAACUCCGUGCCAGCAGCCGCGGUAAUACGGAGGGUGCAAGCGUUAAUCGGAAUUACUGGGCGUAAAGCGCACGCAGGCGGUCUGUCAAGUCGGAUGUGAAAUCCCCGGGCUCAACCUGGGAACUGCAUUCGAAACUGGCAGGCUGGAGUCUUGUAGAGGGGGGUAGAAUUCCAGGUGUAGCGGUGAAAUGCGUAGAGAUCUGAAGGAAUACCGGUGGCGAAGGCGGCCCCCUGGACAGAUACUGACACUCAGAUGCGAAAGCGUGGGGAGCAAACAGGAUUAGAUACCCGCGUAGUC
rnacentral:rRNA from 1 species